UAGCCCAGUGGUUAGGGCACUCACCUGGGAUGUGGGAGAUGCGGGUUUAACUCCCCC
rnacentral:tRNA from 1 species